rnacentral:rRNA from 1 species
ACGAACGCUGGCGGCGUGCUUAACACAUGCACGUCGAACGGAAAGGCCCUGCUUUUGUGGGGUGCUCGAGUGGCGAACGGGUGAGUAACACGUGAGUAACCUGCCCUUGACUUUGGGAUAACUUCAGGAAACUGGGGCUAAUACCGGAUAGGAGCUCCUGCUGCAUGGUGGGGGUUGGAAAGUUUCGGCGGUUGGGGAUGGACUCGCGGCUUAUCAGCUUGUUGGUGGGGUAGUGGCUUACCAAGGCUUUGACGGGUAGCCGGCCUGAGAGGGUGACCGGCCACAUUGGGACUGAGAUACGGCCCAGACUCCUACGGGAGGCAGCAGUGGGGAAUAUUGCACAAUGGGCGGAAGCCUGAUGCAGCAACGCCGCGUGCGGGAUGACGGCCUUCGGGUUGUAAACCGCUUUCGCCUGUGACGAAGCGUGAGUGACGGUAAUGGGUAAAGAAGCACCGGCUAACUAUGUG